rnacentral:rRNA from 1 species
UACGUAGGGGGCAAGCGUUAUCCGGAUUUACUGGGUGUAAAGGGAGCGUAGACGGCUUUGCAAGCCAGAUGUGAGAGCCCGGGGCUCAACCCCGAGACUGCAUUUGGAACUGUAUGGCUGGAGUGUCGGAGAGGCAGGCGGAAUUCCUAGUGUAGCGGUGAAAUGCGUAGAUAUUAGGAGGAACACCAGUGGCGAAGGCGGCCUGCUGGACGAUGACUGACGUUGAGGCUCGAAAGCGUGGGGAGCAAACAGG